rnacentral:misc_RNA from 1 species
UGGCUAUUCUGCAGUCCAGAGUGUAAAGAAGCCAGGGCCUGGGUUCGUAACUUCGAGAAAUGAGCAUGCAUUAAGCAAGCUUGAAGAUAGCUUGCUCUUCUUGCAAGCCGAAAGAAAGCAAUAAAAUUACCGGUCCUGCAGGCCCUCGCCACAUCACGGGCAAAGAGAACUUCUGGUGUUUGCCGCAUAUCUGGUGCCAUCUUUGCUAAAUCAAGUGAAAGCUCUGCAGGAUCAACUUUAUAGCCUGGAUGUUUAUCAAGCUUUAAAAGUGCAUAAUAACCUCUAAAUUCUCUCUCUGUUUCCACAUUUAUUCCUCUCUUCCGGUGGUCGUCAUACAAUUGAAAUAGUUCAACUGAUGUUUUAUUCAUCUGUUCAAUAUUGAGAUGUGCAUCAAAUCCCUCAGAAAACCCCUCUCCUCUCGUGUAUUCACACAAUUCAUGCAUGGCGAGUAUAUGGAGCCUUA